rnacentral:rRNA from 1 species
AGCAGCCGCGGUAAUUCCAGCUCCAAUAGCGUAUAUUAAAGUUGUUGCAGUUAAAAAGCUCGUAGUUGAACUUCGGGGUUUACCCAUUGGUCAGGCUUAAUUGUCUGUACUGGUGAGAUAAAUCUCUACCUUCUGAGGAACUUUCAUGCCAUUUAGUUGGUGUGAUAGGAAAUCAGGACUGUUACUUUGAAAAAUUAGAGUGUUUAAAGCAGGCUAACGUCUGAAUACAUUAGCAUGGAAUAAUGAAAUAGGACGGAUUGGUUCUAUUUCGUUGGUUUCUAGGAUCACCGUAAUGAUUAAUAGGGAUAGUUGGGGGCAUUAGUAUUCAAUUGUCAGAGGUGAAAUUCUUGGAUUUAUUGAAGACUAACUAUUGCGAAAGCAUUUGCCAAGGAUGUUUUCAUUAAUCAAGAACGAAAGUUAGGGGAUCGAAGACGAUCAGAUACCGUCGUAGUCUUAACCAUAAACUAUGCCGACUAGGGAUCGGACGAAGUUAAUUUUAUAAUUGACGCGUUCGGCACCU